CACGUAGGGGGCAAGCGUUGUCCGGAUUUAUUGGGCGUAAAGAGCUCGUAGGCGGCUUAGUAAGUCGGGUGUGAAACCUCCAGGCUCAACCUGGAGACGCCACCCGAUACUGCUGUGGCUAGAGUCCGGUAGGGGAGCGUGGAAUUCCUGGUGUAGCGGUGAAAUGCGCAGAUAUCAGGAGGAACACCAGCGGCGAAGGCGGCGCUCUGGGCCGGUACUGACGCUGAGGAGCGAAAGUGUGGGGAGCAAACAGG
rnacentral:rRNA from 1 species